rnacentral:rRNA from 1 species
CCUACGGGCGGCUGCAGUGGGGAAUAUUGCACAAUGGGCGCAAGCCUGAUGCAGCCAUGCCGCGUGUGUGAAGAAGGCCUUCGGGUUGUAAAGCACUUUCAGCGGGGAGGAAGGCGUUAAGGUUAAUAACCUUGGCGAUUGACGUUGCCCGCAGAAGAAGCACCGGCUAACUCCGUGCCAGCAGCCGCGGUAAUACGGAGGGUGCAAGCGUUAAUCGGAAUUACUGGGCGUAAAGCGCACGCAGGCGGUCUGUCAAGUCGGAUGUGAAAUCCCCGGGCUCAACCUGGGAACUGCAUUCGAAACUGGCAGGCUAGAGUCUUGUAGAGGGGGGUAGAAUUCCAGGUGUAGCGGUGAAAUGCGUAGAGAUCUGGAGGAAUACCGGUGGCGAAGGCGGCCCCCUGGACAAAGACUGACGCUCAGGUGCGAAAGCGUGGGGAGCAAACAGGAUUAGAUACCCGGGUAGUC